GCCUACGACCAUACCACGUUGAAUACACCCGAUCUCGUUCGAUCUCGGAAGUUUAAGCAACGUCGGGCUCGGUUAGUACUUGCAUGGGUGACCGGCUGGGAAUACCGGGUGCCGUAGGCU